GUGCUCACUUCAGCAGCACAUUUACUCAAAUUGGAAGGAUUCAGAGAUCAGCAUGGCCCCUGUUCAAGGACUAUACACAAAUUUUUUUUUUUUAAGAUUUUACU
rnacentral:snRNA from 2 species